AUGGCCCCAGUGGAGCUGGAGAACCACCAGCUGGUCCAGCCCGGAGCCGGCGGCGCGGUUCGCGGAGGCCCGGCGUCAGCCCCGGCUCCUCCUCCUCCGGGAGCCGCCCUGGCGGCGGCAGCUGCAACUGCAGCUAGCCCUGGCUACCGGCUGAGCACCCUCAUUGAAUUUCUGCUGCACCGGGCCUACUCUGAGCUCAUGGUGUUGGCUGACCUACUUCCAAGGAAAUCUGAUGUGGAAAGGAAAAUGGAAAUAGUGCAGUUUGCUAGCCGGACACACCAACUCUUCGUUCGAUUGUUAGCUUUAGUAAAAUGGGCUAAAGAUGUCGGCAAAGUGGAAAAAUGUGCGAUGAUCUCAAGCUUUUUAGAUCAGCAAGCCCUCCUGUUUGUGGACGCUGCUGAUCGCCUGGCCUCAUUAGCUAGAGACGCUCUAGUCCAUGCACGCCUGCCUAGUUUUGCCAUUCCAUAUGCUAUUGAUGUACUGACUACUGGGUCUUACCCACGGCUGCCAGCCUGUAUAAGGGAUAAAAUUAUUCCUCCAGACCCAGUCACGAAAAUUGAAAAACAAGCCACACUUCAUCAGCUGAAUCAGAUUCUUAGACAUCGGCUUGUAACCACAGAUCUUCCUCCUCAGUUAGCAAAUCUUACGGUUGCAAAUGGCCGAGUGAAGUUUCGAGUUGAAGGAGAAUUUGAAGCCACCUUGACUGUAAUGGGAGAUGACCCUGAUGUUCCAUGGCACCUUCUCAAGCUAGAAGUUCUAGUUGAGGAUAAGGAAACAGGAGAUGGGCGAGCUUUGGUUCAUAGUAUGCAAAUCAACUUUAUCCAUCAGCUGGUGCAGUCCAGGCUUUUUGCUGAUGAGAAACCACUUCAGGACAUGUACAACUGCCUCCAUUCUUUCUGCUUAUCACUUCAGUUAGAAGUAUUACAUUCCCAGACUCUAAUGUUAAUCCAGGAGCGGUGGGGAGACCUUGUGCAGGUGGAAAGGUAUCAUGCUGGAAAGUGCCUCUCCCUCUCCGUUUGGAAUCAACAGGUUCUUGGGAGAAAAACAGGCACCGCAUCUGUUCAUAGAGUUACAAUUAAAAUUGAUGAGAAUGAUGUCUCUACACCUUUACAGAUUUUUCAUGAUCCUCCUUUGCCAGCUUUAGAUUCCCAAUCAGUAGAAAGAGCCAUGAAGAUUGACCACUUAUCAAUAGAAAAACUCCUGAUUGAUAGUGUCCAUGCAAGAGCUCAUCAGAAGCUCCAGGAACUGAAGGCCAUUCUUAGAGGCUUCAAUGCCAAUGAAAACUCUUCCAUAGAGACUGCACUUCCAGCCCUGGUUGUUCCCAUCUUGGAGCCCUGCGGCAGUUCAGAGUGUCUGCACAUUUUUGUAGAUUUGCAUUCUGGAAUGUUCCAACUGAUGCUUUACGGACUUGACCAAAACACUCUGGACGACAUGGAGAAGUCUGUGAAUGAUGAUAUGAAACGGAUCAUUCCCUGGAUUCAGCACCUUAAAUUUUGGCUUGGACAGCAACGAUGCAAACAAUCUAUAAAGCAUCUGCCUACAACAAGCAGUGAAACAUUGCAGCUUUCUAAUUACUCAAUACAUCCUAUUGGAAACCUUUCUGAGAAUAAGCUGUUUAUUAAACUUACCCGCCUUCCUCAAUAUUACAUUGUUGUGGAGAUGUUGGAGGUUCCCAGUAACCCCACGCAGCUGUCAUACAAGUACUACUUCCUAUCUGUGAAUGCAACAGAUCAAGAAGACAGCCCUAUCAUGGCACUGCUGCAGCAGCAGUUCAAGGAAGACGUCCAAGACUUGAUUUUUCAUACAAAAUCUGGGAAACAGACCAGAACCAGUACCAAGCACAAGUUAUCUGAUGAUCCAUGUCCAGUAGAAUCCAAGAAAACCAAACGAUCGGGAGAAAUGUGUGCCUUCAAUAAAGUUCUAGCUCACUUUGUUGCUAUAUGUGACACAAAUAUGCCAUUUGUCAGACUUCAAUUGGAGUUGUCCAAUCUGGAUAUUCCACAUCAAGGAGUGCAAGUGGAAGGUAAUGGCUUCAGCCAUGCACUUCCCUUAUUAAAAAUUCCUCCUUGUCAGGGUAUAAGUGAAGAAACACAAAAGGCUCUGGACCGCUCUCUUCUUGAUUGCACUUUCCGAUUACAAGGUAGAAAUAACCGCACAUGGGUGGCAGAGUUAGUGUUUGCAGACUGUCCCCUUAUUGGCACUUCUACUAGGGAGCAAGGACCGUUCAGGCAUGUUUACCUUACAUAUGAAAAUGUGUUGUCUGAACCUGUUGGUGGUAGAAAAAUAGUUGAAACGUUCCUUAAUGACUGGAGUAGUAUUGCACGAUUAUAUGAGUGUGUUUUGGAAUAUGCACAUUCUCUACCAGACCUACCUGCUCAUCUAAAUAUUUUCUCCGAAGUUCGUGUGUAUAAUUACCAAAAACUUAUUUUGUGUUAUGGAACUACCAAGGGAAGUUCAAUUAGUAUCCAAUGGAAUUCCAUCCAUCAGAAAUUUCACAUUUCCUUGGGAACUGUUGGCCCAAACUCAGGUUGCAGUAAUAGUCACAAUACCAUUCUUCAUCAACUUCAAGAAAUGUUCAACAAAACACCAAAUGUAGUUCAGUUAUUACAGGUACUGUUUGAUACUCAGGCUCCAUUGAAUGCCUUCAACAAACUCCGCACUGUGCCGAUGCUGGGCUUGACCCAGAGAACCAACACUGCCUACCAAUGCUUCUCCAUUCUGCCACAGUCAUCCACCCACAUCAGACUGGCCUUUAGGAACACGUACUGCAUUGAUAUAUACUGCCAGAGUGGUGGUGUUGUGGCAAUACGAGAUGGUGCCUAUAGUCUUUUCGAUAACAGCAAAUUAGUUGAAGGUUUUUAUCCUGCACCAGGACUAAAGACAUUCCUGAAUAUGUUUGUUGACAGCAAUCAGGGUGCUCAAAGAAGGUCUAUAACCGAGGAUGAUAAUCCCCCUUCUCCUAUAGGAGGAGAUAUGAUGGAUUCUUUAAUAUCACAACUCCAGCCUCCAACCCAGCAACAGCCAUUUUCAAAGCAGCCAGGAACAUCGGGCACUUAUCCUAUUACUUCACCCCCUCCAUCUUACCACAGCACCAUUAAUCAGUCUCCCUCUAUGAUGCAUGCACAGUCUCCAGGAACUCUUGACCCUAGUUCACCGUAUAAUAUGGUGUCACCAAGUGGACAAGCAGGGAACUGGCCAGGGUCACCUCAAGUAUCUGGCCUCUCACCAACAACAUUCAUGCCAGGAAUGUCACCAGCCAAUCCAUCACUACAUUCUCCUGUUCCAGACACUUCUCAUUCCCCUCAAGCUGGAACAAGUUCCCAAACAAUGCCAACAAACAUGCCUCCACCCCGUAAACUACCUCAGCGCUCUUGGGCAGCAUCCUCACCUACUAUCCUGACUCACAGUGCCUUGAACAUUUUACUGCUGCCCUCACCAAUGCCGGGCCUUAUGCCUGGCUUGGCAGGCAGUUACCUGUGUUCUCCACUUGAGAGAUUUCUUGGAUCAGUCAUCAUGAGAAGACACCUUCAAAGAAUUAUUGAACAAGAAAUGCUGCAGCUGAUAAAUUCCAAUGAACCUGGAGUAAUAAUGUUUAAAACUAAUGCACUGAAAUGCAGAGUAGCCCUGAGUCCCAAAACCAACCAGACACUUCAGCUAAAAGUGACACCUGAAAACGCAGGACAGUGGAAACCUGAGGAACUUCAAGUUUUAGAGAAAUUCUUUGAAACAAAGGUUGUAGGACCACCAUUUAAAGCUAAUACAUUAAUAGCCUUCACCAAGCUUUUAGGAGCUCCUACACACAUCCUCAGGGACUGUGUGCACAUUAUGAAGCUGGAGCUUUUCCCUGAUCAGGCAACACAGCUAAAGUGGAAUGUUCAGUUCUGCCUGACGAUCCCUCCGAGCGCACCACCGAUUGCACCUCCUGGAAUGCCUGCUGUAGUGCUGAUAUCCAAAAUGCUAUUUUUUCUUCAGCUUACUCAGAAAACAGCGGUCCCUUCCCAAGAACCUCUUAGUGUUAUAGUUCCAAUCAUUUAUGACAUGGCUUCAGGUACAACCCAGCAGGCAGACAUUCCCAGACAGCAGUACUCUUGUGUUGCUGCUCGCAUGAUGGUCGGCAACAUUCUGAAGAGAUUUGCAGAGAUGAAUCCACCACGGCAAGGUGAAUGCACAAUAUUUGCAGCUGUUCACUAUUUAAUGGCUAAUCUUAUACUGUCUCCUUUUGGGCAUCCAUAG